UACGGAGGGGGCUAGCGUUGUUCGGAAUUACUGGGCGUAAAGAGUGCGUAGGCGGUUCUUUGUGUCCGCUGUGAAAGCCCCGGGCUUAACCUGGGAAUGGCAGUGGAAACUAGAGAACUUGAAUCUGGCAGAGGGGGGUGGAAUGCCACGUGUAGCAGUGAAAUGCGUAGAUAUCUGGAGGAACACCGGUGGCGAAGGCGGCAUCCUGGACCGAGAUUGACGCUGAGGCGCGAAAGCCAGGGGAGCAAACGGG
rnacentral:rRNA from 1 species